UCCUCAUCCCCGAAUGGCCAUCUCCUCCUUGUUCAAAUUCUAAGGGUUUUGCUUGGGGGCAAACCUCCGUACAUGAUACGUCUUAUCCUCCUCCGUACUUUAAAUUUAGCUAAGAGUGGCUUCGUGAGAUCAACCUCCUCACAUAUUCUGGCAAAGUUGCCUCUCAUGCCAAACACGUGUUCCUAUCCACCUUAAAUGUUUUUCCAAAUUUGUUCCCUAUGUUCCACAGAACAGAAUUAUCAUAAUAUUCCAUUGCUAAGUCCGGUAAUCUAACCCCCACGCUACCUUGUCAAUCGUAGCUACAUAUGGAUCAAAAUUUGGGUGCCAAGUUCUGAUGGUCAGGUAGUGAUCCGCAUCCAUCCAUGGUCCUUCAAACAACACAUGUUCUUUGUCCUCAUUAUUAGAAAAUUUCGACAGAAAGAACUCAUUACCCAAAUCUACCAGACUUGGGUCCCCUUGUAACUUCCAUGGUGUCUUGAGUCGUUUGUGCAGAUACAUGUAUCCCACCUUUCGUCCCAUAAUUUUAAUUAUUAGGGUCUGUCUCCAUGGUGCUCUGAUACGUUUCUUUUCCUCCACUGAAAGUCUGAUCACUGGGCAGUCCUCUUCAUCACAAUCAUCAUCCUCAUCCUCAUCCUCAUCCUCAUCCUCAGAAAUACAAUCCACUAGAAGGCUUUCGCCACUAGUGUUAUGGCACAAAUAAGGAGAUCCCAUCAGAGAGUCUCUAUAACUUAUGCCCCCUUUUCCCUCCCGAGAAAGGCCCUGUCUUGUGUCGCCAUCCGCGUGAUUGUUGUUGUCUCCCACUUUGACCUUCUUGCUUGAUCGUGACAGCAGAUCAGUUUCUUCUGUCGUUGGUUCCAUAGUUUCAGGAGAGAGCAUGUUUCAGGGGAAAAGAAAAAGAUCACUAAUGUUUAGUAAUUGUUAGAGUUGAACGUAUAUUAGACUUUUCCCAACUCAUCAAUGCAAACAACUGGAUUCAAGUGAAUGAGUUGAAAAAGAUCACAAAGGUUGGGCAGCAACAACUACAAGCAACCAAGCCCUCGACUAUCAAAGGAAACCACACAUUGAUGGAACUCAAGUGCAGUUCAUGUCAACGAAGCUACAGAAGUGCCUAUGUCCAGAAAAUGAAGGCGGUGCUAGAAAUAACCAGGGGAGAAGGAAGCAUUGUGGAAACAAAUCACAUUCAUAUAACUAGUGCAGUAGCAGCAUCCACCUUCGUUUGAAUGAUAUCGUUCCUAGAUAGUAGUGAGCUCCCGAUGCUGGGCAAUUUUUACUAGCGAGGGAAUUUGGGUGUCAGCUUAGAUAUUUGGUCUUUGCUCCUGUGGGCUUGCCCAUCUUCAACCAGCGAUCCAGUUGUAAUAUGAAGUUGGGGUUCAGAAAUUACAGGCCCAAUAAGUGGAGCCCAUGUUUUUAAUCGUUUUGGAUCUUGUAAUUUGGAGCUUCAAUUUGGGUUUCUGGACUCU